AUUGAACGCUGGCGGCGUGCCUUACACAUGCAAGUCGAACGGCAGCAUGGAGAGCUUGCUCUCUGAUGGCGAGUGGCGAACGGGUGAGUAAAGCAUCGGAACGUACCGUGUAGUGGGGGAUAACGUAGCGAAAGUUACGCUAAUACCGCAUACGCACUGAGGUGGAAAGCAGGGGAUCGUAAGACCUUGCGCUAUACGAGCGGCCGAUGUCAGAUUAGCUAGUUGGUAGGGUAAAGGCCUACCAAGGCGACGAUCUGUAGCGGGUCUGAGAGGAUGAUCCGCCACACUGGGACUGAUACACGGCCCAGACUCCUACGGGAGGCAGCAGUGGGGAAUUUUGGACGAUGGGGGCAACCCUGAUCCAGCCAUGCCGCGUGAGUGAAGAAGGCCUUCGGGUUGUAAAGCUCUUUCGGCCGGGAAGAAAUCGCACAGGCUAAUACCCUGUGUGGAUGACGGUACCGGCAUAAGAAGCACCGGCUAACUACGUGCCAGCAGCCGCCGUAAGAC
rnacentral:rRNA from 1 species